UAGUCUCGCACAGAUGCAUAUCAAUAAGCGGAGGAAAAGAAACUAACAAGGAUUCCCCUAGUAACGGCGAGUGAAGCGGGAAGAGCUCAAAUUUGAAAUCUUAAAGGGUUUCCCUUUACGAAUUGUAGUUUAAAGAAGUGUUUUCUGUUGAGGUUUUGGUAAAAGUUCUUUGGAAUAGGACAUCAUAGAGGGUGAGAAUCCCGUAUUUGACCUUUACUUUCAACUUUGUGAUACACUUUCAAAGAGUCGGAUUGUUUGGGAAUGCAGUCCAAAAUGGGUGGUAAAUUUCAUCUAAAGCUAAAUAUUGGCGAGAGACCGAUAGCGAACAAGUACCGUGAGGGAAAGAUGAAAAGAACUUUGAAAAGAGAGUUAAACAGUACGUGAAAUUGUCAAAAGGGAAGCGUUUGACACCAGUGUUGUUUUUCUGAAAAUCAAUUAAAGAACUGUUUAUGCUAAGCUGUUUAGACUUUAUCAGCUAACUGUUUAGUUUUGAGCUUUUCUUUAAUGCACUUUUCAGUUAACAAGUCAACAUCAAUUUCUUUUGCUGUAAAAAAGCUCGAGGAAGGUGGCUUGAGAUUCGUCUUAAGUGUUUAUAGCCUCUUGCCUAUGCAGUCGGAGAGAUUGAGGUCUGCAGCGUAGAUCCUUCGGGGCUAAAUGCAUUUGUGCUAAGUUAUAGCAUUUUAUAGACAACUUGUUGACUAUGAUUUGUCUUGUAGCUUACUCGCUUAUGUUAUUUUACCUACGCUUAGGAUGUUGAAGACUCUACAGAGAUA
rnacentral:rRNA from 1 species